GCUUUCGGUUUACCAAUUCAUCUACAUUCCAACCUUUACCAAUGGUCAUGAGCUCUGGGUUGUGACCAGAAGAGUUAGAUCACAGAACUAAGCAGACAAAAUGAGUGGCUGGGUUAAGGCUCAGAGAUAGGGUCUGUAGGGACUUUGUAGGAGAUUUGUUGCUCCUUCACUUUGAAAGGAGUCAGAUGAGAUGAUUCAGCAGUUGAUAAGGACACUUCCUGGAUGCCUCCCUUUGGAAGUGUUCUGGGCACAUACAACUGGGAGUAGCCCUCAAGAGCUAAGCUAAGAGCUUGCUGAAGGGAAAAACAUAUCCCACCUGGCCUGGGAACACCUCAGGAGAUUUGGGCUGACUGCUGCCCUGUCAAAAGUAGGGGGAAUUAGACACCUCUGUGGACCAAGGGGUUGUAAAAGUAAACCUGCUGAGAAACAGAAACCAAUGAAUCUUUAUGCAAAGUAUGAGGAGCGUUAAUGGACAUGCUGCCACUACUUGCAAGGCCACAUCCUCUUAGAAUCUCACGAACAGACAAUGAGUCAGCAAAAUGCACUGGAGCUCUAGGACCUACAUCACCUCUCCACACCUGGUCUCACUCAAGCCAAUCAGGCACUCACACACCUGAUUCUGCUUUGAAAUGACCCCCCUUCAACUCAAGGAAUUGCCCAUCAGAUACUCGACCCUGGUCAGGACAAAUAAAAUGGAUGGAUGGCCAGUGAUUUUGGAAACGCAGUUUUCUGUGAAGUGGAAUAGAAGCAAAAGGAGGAUCUUUGGUGACAAUAUGGAAUUUCAUGUCUUAUUUUUAUUGAAAUUGCGUCAGGAAGAACUUAACAAUACGGCAUCUUCAUUGAUAUCAGUUCACUCCAAAGCAGGCUGGUUGCGUGCGCACCUAGUAUUGUUUGUACACAAGAAACCCAUCCAUUCUAACAGCCUGUAGUCUUUUCAUCUAAAAGUUAAUGUAGGAGGAAAUAAAACAGUCAUUUUGGUCUAUGGUGAAUAUCUUGGAUUGGACAAAUGAAGUGCCUGACAUGGAUUCACAAACCUUUUUGUUUUAUAGCACGGUCAAAGUCUUUCCUGAUGAAUCCGUGGCCUCUCCUGUAGGUAGAAAAGUCACGCUGCCAAGCCUCGCCUUCAUCUUUCCAUCUCAGCUGGGAGAUAUCCUCAUUUAGCUAAAUUAGCUCAAGUCAAGCUUGGCUUUAAUGUGCAGACACUAAUGACGCUCCAAGGUUAAAGUGAGGAGUCAAGCAUUGAUUUGUACUGUCUGUCUUCAAAGUCUGCAUGGAGAAUGAAAAAGGAGGCAUCUUAACAAGGCCGCAUGACGGAGUAAAAAGGCCAACAGCUGUAAAAAAAAAAUCAAUCCAGUGCUUUAGCCGGGAUUUAUUCCGAGGGAGUCCUGUUCUAUUUUACGCUGCACAGUUUGGUAGGUGUGUUAAUGGCAUGUUAAAGUUGACAUUUCACAGCUGAUGAUAAUAAAUUAAAUACAAAUUAUCUGACAAUUUAAUGGCCUGUGAUUAAUUGCCACAUGCGUGCUGCUAUGACAUGCAGUGUAAAAUCGUUGAACCAUGAGUGAGAAAGAAAGGGGGAAAACAAAGCAAGGUGAUAAGUGGAGGUAAAGCGAGAGUGUGAGGGAGCGAGAGGUUCGGAGAUAGACUUGGGAGCAGCAUUUUCACCUGUAGCCCAUCCUUAGAGUGAGCAGAUAUGGAGAUUUGGUCCUGAGGUUGGAUGUGGUGAUGAAGUAGGCCUUAGAUAAGGGAUGUGGAGGAUUAUUCAAUCAAUCACCUGUAGCCAUAUCUUUACACAGCUUGUCUGAGCAGACACAGGAAGUAGUCUGGGCCUGAGGGGGAUAAGAGCGAAAAAAAUGAGACUGGGUCAGCCUAGUUCAGAGACGCUGCCCUGCAAGCAUUGUGUAGGAGAGUUUAAUAAAAGGAGACGGUGAGUGUCUGUGCAUGCUAAGCAGGCGAGUCAGAAAAAAGAGCUCUUUAUGAAGCUGUUGCAUUAAUGUAGCUUUCACAACAUUAUUCCAAAUUUGGGUAUCGAGGUUGAUCUGUUUUGAUGAAAUUUUAAUAAUGCACAAUACAUCUAUCCAGAGCCAAAAAAAAAAAUAGACGAGGUAACCUAAUUCAUCAUUCAUGAUUGAUGACCACUAAUAGCAUGUUCAGAGCACAUGAGGGACACACAUGAAUAGAUGAGUGCGUAAAGCAUAGCCUCUAUCUUAAAGGUGCAGGACAUGAUGAAAAAGUCAACAAGGUCAGUUUAACAUCAAAAUAUAAAGCUUUAAAGAUUUCAGCACCGGACCAUUGGUUAUUGUGCUAUCCCAUGAUUCUUAAGUUAACAUCUCUGUAGCUUCACAUAUUUAACUUCUCAAAUUUAAAAUCUGUCUAUGAACAAAGACACUGAACAGGUACUGUCAUCAAUAUCUAAACCUUUUUGAUUACAUUUCUAAUUAAACUGUUAAAAUGUGACAAAUUGGGUCUUUAAUUAGGAGGAACAAGAAGUUCAAUACAGUGAGUAAAAUGCUCUGCCAUCAUUGAAAAUAAGUCAAUUCUGGCUCAAACACAAAUGAAUUCAUUUAAAAGCUUAGCGCUGCCAGGAGAGUGUUUAUUGAUGGAUGAAUGGACAAAGUGUUGAAGUUUAAAUGGUCUUGUACCUUUCAUGAAGUGCUUCAUAAACUGUCGAUAUAAAAACAGCACAGGAUAAUCUUUAAAGGGAGUGGGUGCCAAAGACACAGAGAUGCAACUUUAAAGGCACAAUCAUCUUUGUGUUUUCAGUCUGACACAAGGGACAGGGAGUAGACCCUGAUCAGAAGAGCUGGUUCAUCAUGGAGAUACACUUUAGUGCUUGAUCAUGGUUGGCUUUACUAGGAUCUUCAAAUGUAUUCAGAAUUUGAAUGGCAAUCCAUGUAGGGGGGAUAAAACAGCAGUAAUGUAGUUUUUCCUGCUGGACCUGGUAAACAGUCUCAGUCAACAGCAGCUUUUAAGCUCAAUGGCAGACAGUCGAGUCAGCAUUUACUGAAUUACAGUAAUCAAACCAGGAAGAUAAACAGACAUGAAUCAGCAUUUCUAACUCAGCAUGUGCAGCAACAGACUGCAACCUCUGUUUUUUUAUCAGUAUUCACCCAUCCAGUCCUUCAUGGCACAGUAGAAGCCUUCGGUGUAAAAGAAACAUACAGUCAAACAUCUUCAGCAUAACAGCAGUAAAUUGUUUGAUCACAUAGGUAAAUUGAGAACUAUGUAAAGGAAACUUAAAGGGACCCAGGACAGAUCCCUGAGGUACACUGUAUCUGAAAAAGACGCUGUUUAAGACAUAUAAGGCUAUGAAAGAUAAGAGGACCGAUCACAGGGGCUCCCCACACACCCUGACUUGAUGUUAUAAAGGGUAUUACAAGGAGUUUUUCUGUAGUUGGAAAUCAACUAUAUUCCGACAAAAAAAAUAUUUCAGGGUCAAACACACGUAAAAUCAAGUUAGACACCCCCUCGAGAGAUGAAUUUUGCCGACUGCUUGCUCCUCUAGUUUUACCAACUUUAGUAACAACAGUACCAUAGUGAUACACAGAGGUCUGAGGAGCCAUAAACAAACCUCAACCAAGAUGCCACUCUAUAGUCACAAACAAUGCUCAGAACAGCACCUAACUUCAUCAACAGUACAUAUAGGGUCCCAGCCAUAGUACUAGCCAUCAAACAUUUUUUUUAACUUUGCCUAAUUUCUUUAGCAAAGAGACUUAACACAACUCACCUACUCUCUUCCAGCACCUGCUUGUUUGUAGGGAGACCUCAGGCCAGUCCAUUACAGACUACAGUGGGAUGACACAGCUCAAGGAAGAACCUUUAUGAUCAUUUCUUCAUUUCUUCAAAUGCAAUCAGAUUGGGACUCUACGGCAGAAGAACUAUUGCGUCUGCAGUGCAAAAUGAUAAAUAUGAGCUUCGUCACCCCAAAGUAGUCUGUAAUGGACUGGCCCAGGAUAAUGUACUCGAGGGGAUGUCUAACUCUGUAUGUUUGACCCUAAUUAAUUUUACGCCGGAAUAUCCCUUUAAUCCAAGUUACUGAAACAUUUAGGGGUAUUUGUUUUAAAACACUAUUUUGGCAUAUACUUUGGCAUCACUUUGUCCACAGGGGGCGCCAAAACAGACAGAAAUUAAAAUUUCCUUACUGCAGCUUUUAAAUCAGUCAUAAGCAGUUUGGCAUUGGCUUUCUCCAAAAUAUUAAAUACCAAUGAUAGUUUGAAGAUAAGCCUGCAGUCUUCCAGUGGAUGGGUCAAGGUUAGUUUCUCAGACGAUGGUGAACAGCAGCAGAUUUAAAAUACAAUAGGAUACAACCAGAUAGCAGGAGGCAAUUUAUAAUAGAGACUAGGCAGUCUACAAUAUCUGUUUCAUCUCCUCCUUUCCUCUCCUUUUCUAACAUCCCAAAUAAAAUCAGCUCUGACAAGGACUAUUUUCAUUACGUAACACAGAUAACAGCUAAAAUGCUGUGCCUGGUUGCAAUGAUGACAAACUAGAGUGUAAGAUUAUAAAACGGUUUUGGUUUUGAUGUGUGAAGGUUGAAUCACAACAGGCAGAUAAUGUGUUUUUAAAAACUUUUCUGUCAUAUAUUGGUGAACCAAACAAAAGGGGGCUCUUGAUAAGCUUGACAGCCAUGAGAUGAUUCUCCUCAGACUCAUCAUGCAUACUCUACAGAUGGAUCUUAUGUGUUUCCGCUGAGCUUGGAGACAUCUAGGCAGGAUGUCAGGGGACUCAGGCGACUCCUCAAAUGGAUUAAAAAGUUCAUAAAUCUAUGAUGCCGUCUUAUAUUAUGGCAUCAGGCAGAGAGCCCUCUAAACAAGCAGCGGGUAUUAGAUUUAACCUUUGUUUUGUCAAUAGAGGUUUGCUAAUAAAUCACAACCACUGGUGGGAAGAAUAAUUGUCAGACUGCAGCCAUUUUCACAGCUGAACUUUACAUCAUCUUUUAAAAAAGGAGCAGAUGGGCUUGGCAAUGGAGGAGUCCUAUUGAUCCUUGGUUUCAUUGAUUUCCUCUCUUUUUUUUUUUUUUGUCCGUGGCAAAGCAAAGGGAUGGGAGGCGCCGUAGCUGCGAGAAGGUCUCUCUCUGAAUAAGAAUUGUGAAGCGCUGGGCACCAAGGUGAGGUGCUGCAUGAACAAUAACCGCCGCCGCUGCUGCAGAUCGUGCUGCACUCCAGACUUUGUGUGCUCGGAGGCUCUCACUGCAGAUGCGCUCCUGACACCUUACAGCAGGUAAAUUGCAGACACUUAAUGAGACUCUGAAAUUAUCGGAUUCCUGUCGACUUGAUGUGGGAGACUCUAAUAGAGAUGCUGGCUCUGUCUCAAAGCUCACCACUAGCACCCAGAGUAAUCCCUGUCCUUACCGUGUGCAGGUGAGCAUGAAUGGGUCACCUCAUUAGAAGAUGAUAUUAGCGGUGGAAAACUUACAAUUUACUGCUGCAAAAGAUUUUUUAUUUUAAGUUUAAAAAAGGGUAAAAUUAUGCCGAAGCCCUUUCUUACAUUAAGGAUGACAUGGACAUAUUUGCCAAACAGUAAGAUAUUACACAGCAGUAAGGUCAAAAAGUAGAGGAGAUUCAGUCAUGAUCGGAAUCCAAGUGAGUUUGAAGGAACUGAUUUGGGAUUUAUUCAUGUUUGUUACUGUUAUUAGCGCCUGUAGUCAUUAGUGAUCACGUGUUAAAAACUCAUCUUUGCAGCUCUUUUAAAGCGAACGUUUCAAAGCGUGCAAAGUGCAAGAGUAGUUAAGUAAACCAGGCAGGCAGGGGUGGACUGGGACAAUGACUCAGGCCAGGAGUUUGACUCCAUCCUGGCCAGGCCAACACACAUCCAGCCAGAGUGAAUAUAAUGCUAAUGUGAAGAAUUUAACAUUGGCUACAUAACUGCAAAUUGGUUUUAAAAACUCCAUAUUAGUCAUGACUUUAACUAUUUAAACUAAGAAUGUAGCCUACCACAUUGCUGUUGUAUUAUGAUAAAAUGUUGAAAGCCUGUCAGAAAAAAUUCAAAGUUCUCGAGAGGCAUAAAACUUGGAUUAGCACGAACCACUAGCAUCGUAUCUGUCUCGGUGUCGGUCAGUGACCUUAUUAAACUCAGCUUCAUUGCAGCUUCAUUACGGUGUGCUAAAAGAGUAUAAAAGUGGUAUAUUUUCAGACAAGAAGGAACCAGGAACUCUUAAAAAUGUAAAUUACUUCAAAAGUGAGAAAUGAAAGAAAGUAAUUGGUUUAUCAAUUGAACUGAAAUGAAGCAAAAAUGAAGGGAAAAAACUCAAAUUUCAGUGUUUGUAUUUUGAUUGAAUUUAAUUUUGAUCUUUAAUUUGUUGUUAAGUUUGAAAUUUGUGUUUGACACUCCUAAAAUCAGAUUAGUUUUAUUUUUUUUGUAAGAUUCAAGAACUUCAUUUUUUAUAUUGGAUGAAGCUAUUUAAAGUUCCCAUUCGGAACUUUUAAUGGAAAAUGAAACGGACUGAAAUGAGCAGAGAUCAUUAAUGCUCCUCAGGCUCUUUAUGACCUGCAAAAGCAAAUAAGACCAUCUAGGACAACAGAAGUUAUUCAUAAAAACAGGUAGAGACUUCCUUUACUCAUAACUUAAAGUCCAAAAACAUAAAUAUCCAAACAUCUUUACCCACGCAUAGACUCCAAAGCUACUCUGCUCGUGGCAUUGGCUUUAAACUCGGUUGCCAGGAGAAAAUGAUUUCCCUUUUUGGUUGAAUUGGCAUUUGAGAAGAUGCCAAGUAUCCUCUAAUUACUUUUUCUCGACUCUUUCUUCAGUCGAUGGUUUUCUGCUUCUACUGAUGUCAACAUUUCUUUAAUUUUAAAGAAGCCAAAAUCUGGUAUUGAUUUGUUUACUGUAGAAGAUGUGAAAAAAAGCAAAGUUAAAUGAAGAAUGGAGGUGAUGCUGGGAUAUAAAAACAGACUCUGAUCUGAAAUGAAGAGGAGGAAAAUAAAGUUUAAGGCUUUGACUUGUUAGAAGUAUCACUUUCUAAGAGAAUGACUCAAACCCUCACAUGAAAAGCAUGACUCAAACGAGAUGACACAGAGUUUUUCCGAUAUGAGUUACCUCCUCCCCGUGGCUGAUCUUCAGAGGUGGCUGUCUGAGGUCAGAGUGAUGUCUAAGCGAAGGUGCUGAGGGAAGAGUCCAGGUGAAAGGCCGAGCUGACAUUCACAACCACACACCGUUUCCUCCUGUCAGACUGGGCUCUCCUGGGACCUUCUCCCCAGCAUCAUAAGUGAAUAAUCAAACCCAGAGUGAGUCAGUGUAUUGAUAUGUUUCUUGUUUGUUGUUGCUGAAGUUUAAAAUAACCCUGGACCGAUGCAGCAGUCAGCUGUUUCCUCUGUCUGCUCCUUUUCUUCCAUACACAGGUUUCCACAACACCUUAUAGCUCUGCCUCACACAAAAAUCUUAAAAUAAAGCACAUGUAUACACACUCACUGGCUACUUGAGGAGGUACAUCUUGCUAGGCAAGGUUAGGCCCUCAAUUGCCUUCAGAACUGCCUUAGAUAUUUUUGUCCAUAUUGACAUGAUAGCAUCACGCAUUCAUGAUGCGAAUCUCCAGCUCCACCGCAUCCCAAAGGUU
rnacentral:lncRNA from 1 species